AACAUGCUUCUCGAAUGUCCAAACUUAACAAAAAAAUUACACGGAGUUCGCACACAUGAACAUAUUGCAGCACAAAAAAGUUAGAAUUUUUGGAACCAUUUUUCUAUUUGAAAUCGCGGUAUUGUUCAUGCCCGAGCACAAAAACACUGCUCUCUCUUUAUAUCUCCUUCUUUAUUUCCUUCUUUAUUCUUUCAUUCAAUCUCUCUCUUUCCUUCUUUAUUCUUUCCUCCAAUUUAUUUCCUUUUUCCUUCCUUAUUCUUGUAUUCAAUCCCUCUUUCCUUCCUUGCUAGGGGUGGCUUAUUUCCUUCCUUGAUGAUUUUCGGGAUGGCUCCUUGUUACCUAAAAAGAUCAAAGACGUAUAUGAAUUAGUAAGGUCGGAUGUAAGGAAACGUGGUGUGACUAUUGUAUAGCUGAAUCAACCUUGGCCUGUUUGGAUACUCUAACUCGAUUAAAGGUUAGAGUUAGAUUUUAACCCUGCACUAAUCCUGAGUUAACGUUAAUUAAAGAGGUGUUUGGAUGGCAGGGUUAGAUAAAUAAUAAACAUUUUUUUUCAAUCAUUUAGCUACUUUUGAUCCUAUUUUCUACCGGGUUUAGUAUGGCCGGCUCUUGUGUGGCGUGCAGCCCAACGCGCUGCCAAUGCGCCCGUGCACUCCCGCGCGCCCAGAUCGGCAUGCCCCUCUGCACCACUCCGCAUGGACCACACCGUCGCCCAAGCCACACCGAGGUCGCACUCGCAAUCCCGUAGAGCUGAGCGUCCCCGUUCCACCCCGACCUGCGAGAGAGGAGGAAGCGGUCCCGCUGACAUUGGCGCCAUGCGAGCUUUGCUCGGGGAUCUCGGGGACGGGGGUGACGGGGGGACGGCGGUGGGAUGGGGGCUGCUAGUGCUGGCGGGAUGGGGGCGGCUGGGGGCGGAUAAGCGUGGCUUGGGCGGCUGGGGGUGGCGGGAUGAAGGCGGUCGGGCGGAUGGAAAGGCUGGCGAGGUAUGGGGUCGGCAAUCGCCGACGACCGACGGAGUUGGGCCGGCGGAUGAGGGCGAGAGGAGGAAUCGGCCCCGCCGACGCCGGCGCCAUGCGAGCUUUGCUCGGGGAUGGGGGCGGUUGGGGUGGUGGCUGCGGGAGCGGGGUGGAUGGGGAGACGGGAGCGGAAUGGAUGGGGGGGUGCGACGGGAUCUCG
rnacentral:lncRNA from 1 species